rnacentral:rRNA from 1 species
GCUUACGGCCACACCACCCCGAAUGUGCCCGAUCUUGUUUGAUCUCAGAUAGUAAGCAGUGUCGGGCCUGUUUAGUACUUGGAUGGGAGAUUCCCUGGGGAUACCAGGUGCUGUAAGCU